rnacentral:rRNA from 1 species
AGUUUGAUCCUGGCUCAGAUUGAACGCUGGCGGCAUGCCUUACACAGGCAAGUCGAACGGCAGCACGGACUUCGGUCUGGUGGCGAGUGGCGAACGGGUGAGUAAUGCAUCGGAACGUGCCAUUGAGUGGGGAUAACGUAGCGAAAGUUGCGCUAAUACCGCAUAUUCUGUGAGCAGGAAAGCAGGGGACCGCAGGGCCUUGCGCUCUUUGAGCGGCCGAUGUCAGAUUAGCUAGUUGGUGAGGUAAAGGCUUACCAAGGCGACGAUCUGUAGCGGGUCUGAGAGGAUGAUCCGCCACACUGGAACUGAGACACGGUCCAGACUCCUACGGGAGGCAGCAGUGGGGAAUUUUGGACAAUGGGGCAACCCUGAUCCGGCCAUGCCGCGUGAGUGAAGAAGGCCUUCGGGUUGUAAAGCUCUUUCGGCCGGGAAGAAAUCGCAUGGGCCAAUACCCUGUGUGGAUGACGGUACCGGAAUAAGAAGCACCGGCUAACUACGUG